rnacentral:rRNA from 1 species
AGCGGAUGAUGGGAGCUUGCUCCUGGAUUCAGCGGCGGACGGGUGAGUAAUGCCUAGGAAUCUGCCUGGUAGUGGGGGACAACAGUUGGAAACGACUGCUAAUACCGCAUACGUCCUACGGGAGAAAGCAGGGGACCUUCGGGCCUUGCGCUAUCAGAUGAGCCUAGGUCGGAUUAGCUAGUUGGUGAGGUAAUGGCUCACCAAGGCGACGAUCCGUAACUGGUCUGAGAGGAUGAUCAGUCACACUGGAACUGAGACACGGUCCAGACUCCUACGGGAGGCAGCAGUGGGGAAUAUUGGACAAUGGGCGAAAGCCUGAUCCAGCCAUGCCGCGUGUGUGAAGAAGGUCUUCGGAUUGUAAAGCACUUUAAGUUGGGAGGAAGGGCAGUAAGUUAAUACCUUGCUGUUUUGACGUUACCAACAGAAUAAGCACCGGCUAACUUCGUGCCAGCAGCCGCGGUAAUACGAAGGGUGCAAGCGUUAAUCGGAAUUACUGGGCGUAAAGCGCGCGUAGGUGGUUCAGCAAGUUGAAGGUGAAAUCCCCGGGCUCAACCUGGGAACUGCCUCCAAAACUACUGAGCUAGAGUACGGUAGAGGGUAGUGGAAUUUCCUGUGUAGCGGUGAAAUGCGUAGAUAUAGGAAGGAACACCAGUGGCGAA